ACCCAUAUGUUUAGUAUCACGUCAUCCGUAAAGCAAAUUAAUGACAUUCGUUCAUGUGUAUUCAAUAUUCAGGUUGAAAGACUGGCAAACAAGCACUGGACGGUUGAAAUACAUUGGACAAAGCGAAUCAAACCCCACCCAUAUGUUUUGUGGUGUCUGUUCCGUCACUUAUGUCUCUGGACAAGCGAAUCAAAUCGACUCAUUUUUAAGCCAAAGAUUGUUUUAGGGAACCGUGAAUUGUGAUUUGUGAGUUUGGUUGUAAAGAUUAUCCAACGGAG
rnacentral:lncRNA from 1 species